CACUGGAACAUGGCUAUAUAGGGAAAGAUUUUUUUUUUCCAUCUAGCAAAGGGAAAACCAAGGCCAUAACAGGUACAGACUUUCAGGUUUUUCAGCAAAUUGAGCCCCUGUGUGGAAGCUCCAGACGCUCUGACUUUCAGCUAUACCCAGAUCAUCCUCAGAAAGAGUAAACAUAUUUCACUUGGCAGCUAGAUGGCAUGUACUUUAAGUAGCCCCAGCCUACAGAUAAACCCAAACCUGAAACAUCUGUGGAUAUUGCUACACUCGUGUGUGUGCGUGUGCGUGUGCGUGUGUGUGUGUAUGUGUGUGUGCAGAGGGGGGGAUCUCAAGCUGGGAAAUCCGGAAAAUAUACAAGGAGAAGAGAGAAGUGGGGCUUCUGCAGGUCUGGAAGCGAUGACCCAGGGGCGUAGAAAGAAGAGGAGAUCGACCCUGCCAGGCGCUAGCCAGGGCAAGCAGUGAAGGAGUUAAGGCAGGAUUGGGGGAAGGCCGACCGGCAGAAAGGAGCAUGUGCAGUCUGCAACCGCAUCCAUACUAUGGGUGAGUGCCACUGGUACAUUGAAAUCUUCAGCCACGGCCGCAAUUGCCCUCUCGCUCUGCAGGCAUCUUCCUAAGCAGGAGAAGACAAUGCGGGUCUGAGUGGCAGAACAGAGAGGCGCAGACCAGUUACGACCAAUGCGAGCCAGUGCGCGCCCCGGAGAGGCUGCCGUGGGGGUGGGGAGCAGGCGGAGGAGGCGAGCGCUCCAGCCCCGGGAGGAGGAGGACGCACAGGGGAGCUGAGAGCUCGCUCCUGGGCAGCACCUGCAGCGGACGGCUGGCCCGGCGGGCCCCGUAGCCCCGCGCCAGUGGUCUCGGUCUCUGGUCCCCGCACUGGUAGGUGCGCUUGGAGCCUUUGGAGAGGCCUCCUGCAGCGGGGAGGUGGCCAGUGCCGGGCGGGGAGGGGGAGAAAAGGGGAGGGCGAGGCGGCUGGUGGGCAUCGGAGGGGUGACGUGUGUGUAUGUGUGUGUGUGUGGAUCUGUUGGGGUCUGUGAGUGUAUGAAUGUGUGUUGGGCGUGCGCGCGCACGCUGUAGGGUGUUUCAUCCCUGGUCCUCCUUUGCUUUCGCUUUCGAGUCUGGCUCCCGAGAAGGUUGCAUGUUUGGGGUUGAUUUUCCUGCGGGGGUUGGGGAGGGAGGGAGAGGUGCAAACUGGCAACUUUCCCUCGCCUGGAACAAAGGGGCGUUGGGGAAAGAGGAGGAAAGGGGAAUGGGCUCAUCGUUCAUUACGGUCUCCUGUAGUAGGUCGUAGGAGGCAAACAUCCCCUGGGGUAGCAGGACAGACGCAAGGGAUGGCCUUCUGUCCUCUCCAGCCCUCACCGGCUGGGGGGAGCAGCCCAGGUAGAACUGGGGGGGUGGGGAAGGGUGCUAGGAUCUUGGGGGGUAAGGGAGGAGCCAAACUUGGGGGCGUGCCAGGGUUUGAAAG
rnacentral:lncRNA from 1 species